GGUGGUGAAAUGUGGAUUGUAAUUGAUAAAAACGUACCCGCGCGCUUGGUCGAUGCAGUGAAACAGCGGGUUCCAGUCAAAAAUUGGUAAUAUGAAGCUGGGCAAAGAGUUUGCAACGAACAUUUUUCCCGACGCGAUCAUGUUGGCACGG
rnacentral:ncRNA from 1 species